AUGUCCCUUAAACUGUUCAAAACCGCAGAUUCACUGCACCUUACAAAAUCGAAAUCCAAAUUGAAAUUGAAAUCACAAUAUGAUGAAUUAGAAACUAUGAUUAAUGAUUAUGAAGAAAUAAAAUGGAUAAGACUUACGUUGUCGAGAGCAACAACGUUGAGGAAAGUUCAAGGUCUUCAAGAACGGGUUGUUUCGUCGAUAAAUUUGUCAGCAAGCAUCGCCGACGCUUGA